AAAUUGAAGAGUUUGAUCAUGGCUCAGAUUGAACGCUGGCGGCAGGCCUAACACAUGCAAGUCGAGCGGUAGCACAGAGAGCUUGCUCUCGGGUGACGAGCGGCGGACGGGUGAGUAAUGUCUGGGAAACUGCCUGAUGGAGGGGGAUAACUACUGGAAACGGUAGCUAAUACCGCAUAAUGUCGCAAGACCAAAGUGGGGGACCUUCGGGCCUCAUGCCAUCAGAUGUGCCCAGAUGGGAUUAGCUAGUAGGUGGGGUAAUGGCUCACCUAGGCGACGAUCCCUAGCUGGUCUGAGAGGAUGACCAGCCACACUGGAACUGAGACACGGUCCAGACUCCUACGGGAGGCAGCAGUGGGGAAUAUUGCACAAUGGGCGCAAGCCUGAUGCAGCCAUGCCGCGUGUGUGAAGAAGGCCUUCGGGUUGUAAAGCACUUUCAGCGGGGAGGAAGGCGUUAAGGUUAAUAACCUUGGCGAUUGACGUUACCCGCAGAAGAAGCACCGGCUAACUCCGUGCCAGCAGCCGCGGUAAUACGGAGGGUGCAAGCGUUAAUCGGAAUUACUGGGCGUAAAGCGCACGCAGGCGGUCUGUCAAGUCGGAUGUGAAAUCCCCGGGCUCAACCUGGGAACUGCAUUCGAAACUGGCAGGCUAGAGUCUUGUAGAGGGGGGUAGAAUUCCAGGUGUAGCGGUGAAAUGCGUAGAGAUCUGGAGGAAUACCGGUGGCGAAGGCGGCCCCCUGGACAAAGACUGACGCUCAGGUGCGAAAGCGUGGGGAGCAAACAGGAUUAGAUACCCUGGUAGUCCACGCCGUAAACGAUGUCGAUUUGGAGGUUGUGCCCUUGAGGCGUGGCUUCCGGAGCUAACGCGUUAAAUCGACCGCCUGGGGAGUACGGCCGCAAGGUUAAAACUCAAAUGAAUUGACGGGGGCCCGCACAAGCGGUGGAGCAUGUGGUUUAAUUCGAUGCAACGCGAAGAACCUUACCUGGUCUUGACAUCCACAGAACUUAGCAGAGAUGCUUUGGUGCCUUCGGGAACUGUGAGACAGGUGCUGCAUGGCUGUCGUCAGCUCGUGUUGUGAAAUGUUGGGUUAAGUCCCGCAACGAGCGCAACCCUUAUCCUUUGUUGCCAGCGGUCCGGCCGGGAACUCAAAGGAGACUGCCAGUGAUAAACUGGAGGAAGGUGGGGAUGACGUCAAGUCAUCAUGGCCCUUACGACCAGGGCUACACACGUGCUACAAUGGCAUAUACAAAGAGAAGCGACCUCGCGAGAGCAAGCGGACCUCAUAAAGUAUGUCGUAGUCCGGAUUGGAGUCUGCAACUCGACUCCAUGAAGUCGGAAUCGCUAGUAAUCGUAGAUCAGAAUGCUACGGUGAAUACGUUCCCGGGCCUUGUACACACCGCCCGUCACACCAUGGGAGUGGGUUGCAAAAGAAGUAGGUAGCUUAACCUUCGGGAGGGCGCUUACCACUUUGUGAUUCAUGACUGGGGUGAAGUCGUAACAAGGUAACCGUAGGGGAACCUGCGGUUGGAUCACCUCCUUACCUUAAAGAA
rnacentral:rRNA from 1 species